UCCNUCGGGGGGGGGGKGCAGUAGGGAAUCUUCCGCAAUGGGCGAAAGCCUGACGGAGCAAUGCCGCGUGAGUGAUGAAGGUUUUCGGAUCGUAAAGCUCUGUUGCCAGGGAAGAACGCUUGGGAGAGUAACUGCUCUCAAGGUGACGGUACCUGAGAAGAAAGCCCCGGCUAACUACGUGCCAGCAGCCGCGGUAAUACGUAGGGGGCAAGCGUUGUCCGGAAUUAUUGGGCGUAAAGCGCGCGCAGGCGGUCAUUUAAGUCUGGUGUUUAAUCCCGGGGCUCAACCCCGGAUCGCACUGGAAACUGGGUGACUUGAGUGCAGAAGAGGAGAGUGGAAUUCCACGUGUAGCGGUGAAAUGCGUAGAUAUGUGGAGGAACACCAGUGGCGAAGGCGACUCUCUGGGCUGUAACUGACGCUGAGGCGCGAAAGCGUGGGGAGCAAACAGGAUUAGWACCCCCCKGGAAAUYAA
rnacentral:rRNA from 1 species